CGAACGAUUAAGACUUCCUUCGGGAAGUGUAUAAAGUGGCGCACGGGUGAGUAACACGUAAGUAAUCUACCUUCGAGUGGGGAAUAACAUCGGGAAACCGAUGCUAAUACCGCAUAACGCAGCAGCAUCGCAAGAUGACAGUUGUUAAAGGAAUUUAUUUCGCUUGAAGAGGAGCUUGCGGCAGAUUAGCUAGUUGGUAAGGUAAUGGCUUACCAAGGCUACGAUCUGUAUCCGGUCUAAGAGGACGGUCGGACACACUGACACUGAAUAACGGGUCAGACUCCUACGGGAGGCAGCAGUCGGGAAUUUUGGGCAAUGGGCGAAAGCCUGACCCAGCAACGCCGCGUGAAGGAUGAAGUAUUUCGGUAUGUAAACUUCGAAAGAAUAGGAAGAAUAAAUGACGGUACUAUUUAUAAGCUCCGGCUAACUACGUGCCAGCAGCCGCGGUAAUACGUAGGGAGCAAGCGUUGUUCGGAUUUACUGGGCGUAAAGGGCGCGUAGGCGGCGCGGUAAGUCACUUGUGAAAUCUCUGAGCUUAACUCAGAACGGCCAAGUGAUACUGCAGUGCUAGAGUGCAGAAGGGGCAAUCGGAAUUCUUGGUGUAGCGGUG
rnacentral:rRNA from 1 species